GACGAACGCUGGCGGCGUGCUUAACACAUGCAAGUCGAACGGAAAGGCCCCUUCGGGGGUACUCGAGUGGCGAACAGGCGGGUAACACGCGCGUAACCUGCCCUUGACUGCGGGAGAACUUCAGGAAACUGGGGCUAAUACCGGACAGGAAUCCUUGCUGCAUGGUGGGGGUUGGAAAGCUUCGGCGGUUUUGGAUGGACUCGCGGCCUAUCAGCUUGCUGGUGGGGUAGUGGCUUACCAAGGCUUUGACGGGUAGCCGGCCUGAGAGGGCGACCGGCCAACUUGGGACUUAGAUACGGCCCAGACUCCUACGGGGGGCAGCCGGGGGGAAUAUUGCCCCAUGGGCGGAAGCCUGAUGCAGCAACGCCGCGGGCGGGAUGACGGCCUUCGGGUUGUAAACCGCUUUCAGCAGGGGCGAAGCUUGUGGUGACGGUACCUGCAGAAGAAGCACCGGCUAACUACGUG
rnacentral:rRNA from 1 species